UUUCUAUUGAGCUGCUCAGUGCCCGGCUUAGAAGACCAGGAAAAGGAGUCACAGGUCGUAUGCUGGAGGCUUGAGCCGCGGCACCGUGGCGCGGCUCGCCUCGCUGCGGUUGGUGGUGGCGGUGGACAUUGCAGCGCGGCUGGAGGGGUAGGAAGAAGAAGAUAGUUUUGGGAUAGAUAGAGGUGAGAUAUUCCUGCACAUCCUCUGGUGACCCCAGAAUGAGGGGGACUCGCUGGUGAAUUGCCUCGGGCUUCACGUCCAGUACAGGCUGGGUCCCCGUGGUCGCCAAGCCUCCUGCCUGCUCAAUGAUGUAGGCCACGGGAUUGCAUUCAUACAGGAGCCGGAGCUGUGGAGGAACAGAGGCAGGACAAAUUCACCAAGAGCCUAGCAACAUGAAGAGAGAUGCCAGGAAGAAGAGAGAAGCCAGGAAACAAGCCAACCGCACAAUCCCCACAUCAGAGCAGGAGAAGAUGGGGGCCUGCUGGCAGAGCUGGGGCUUGGCUGUGGUCACUCUGAACCUGCUCUUUGGUGUUUUCAUGAGUGGUGGGAAGAAUAGGGACCAUAUGGAGCCCACACAGGAAGCUCUAGCAGUAACACAGCAAGCAGGAAGACAAUUCUAAGGAAGCAGCCCAUAGUCUUCUUUCUUUUCCUGUGCAUCUUCCACUGUCAGUGAGGCUCCUCAUUUAUGGUGAACCCAACUGUGUGUAUCUCCCAAGUUCUCACCCGCAGAUUAAUGUUUUCAGGAAGAUAGGCCAUCAACAGUGAGAGGAAGAAGUUACAUUGUCGUAUGAGGGAUGCAUUUUAACCAUUAAUUUGUGGUACAGGCUGGGCGCAGUGGCUUAUGCAUGUAAUCCCAGCACUUUGGGAGGCCGAGGUGGG
rnacentral:lncRNA from 1 species